UACGGGGGGGGCAAGCGUUGUUCGGAAUUACUGGGCGUAAAGGGCUCGUAGGCGGCCAACUAAGUCAGACGUGAAAUCCCUCGGCUUAACCGGGGAACUGCAUCUGAUACUGGAUGGCUUGAGUUCGGGAGAGGGAUGCGGAAUUCCAGGUGUAGCGGUGAAAUGCGUAGAUAUCUGGAGGAACACCGGUGGCGAAGGCGGCAUCCUGGACCGACACUGACGCUGAGGAGCGAAAGCCAGGGGAGCAAAGCAGGG
rnacentral:rRNA from 1 species